rnacentral:lncRNA from 1 species
UCCCAGCAAUGCCAAAACCCGAGUUUCCUCCCCUAAAAAAGCCAGAAAUCCCAACAAUGCCAAAGACCGAGGUUCCUCCAGCUAUAAAAAAGCCUGAAGUUCCAGCUUUGCCAAAGCCCGAGAUACCAAUUGUGCCAAAACCAGAAAUCCCAGAACUACCAAAGCCAAAAAUCCCGGAGCUACCAAAGCCAAAACUACCAGAGCUUCCAAAGCCCGAAGUCCCAGCUAUGCCAAAGCCUAAAAUCCCAGAACUGCCUAAACCAAAAGAGAUACCUUUUCCUUCACUUUCUCCACCUCACAAGCCCGCUACUCCUUGAGUAAUUACAAUGCACCCAAUCGUGUUUUGAGAUUUCCAUCUUUGUCUGUGAAGUUUGCUACGAGGGCAUGGCAUGGAGAUAGUUUGGCACAACAUAUUAAUACUUUCUGCAAGAAGUGGAAAUUAUGAUUCUUUUAUAGCAUUUAAUUGGAUGUACCAUGUUUCAUUGGAUGUAUCAUGUUUAUCGUGUCAUUAUAUCAUGAAUGUUUUAUGUACUUUCAAUACAGUGUUUAUCUAUGUCACUUUUUAGAGUUAUUUUUAUUUAGUUCCUAUCUUUGGCCAUAUCUGAUUUUACUCAAUUGCCUUUUUCCCCUACUCCCCUUCGUUUAAUUAAAACCUAUUACUACUUUCUUCCUUCACAAAGAGAUGGAAAGGAUGAAUUAACAUAUUUAAGCGCCGGUAGAAUAAUCUGAUCUCAAAUACAAGAACUGAACCAAAUAUUCAAGCAUUUGUUGCUUUCUGUCUCAUUCAUCCUAAUGCACACCGGAUUCAGUUACAAAUUUUGCAUGCUCUAAAAGAAACAUAAAAAACAAUGGGGAUACUUGCUUCUUCUUAAGGGGGAGAUUGUUCUUAUGGAGCAAUUUAUAGUUAUGGACAAAUGAACUAGCUAAAAUUUCUCUUAGCACAUUCCUUAUAAAAACAAUUCUCUAAAACAUUAUUGCGCGACCAUCUCAUCUAAAAUUCAAGUUUAUUUCCCUAACAAUAUGAAAACUUUUUAGUAAUAGGUCGUGGUAAGUCUUGAAUCUCGUACCUCUAUCUGCUUUAAUCCAUGUUAAAUUGUGUGACCAUGUCAUCUAAAAGAAAACUAACUGUUAGAAAGGGUACAUUUCCAUUUAGUUGAACAAAUCUUCAAUAAUCUUAACCUUUUGAAUUAUCUUUUUUCAUUUCUCCAGUACUAAACCAAUAUGGAGUACAUAUUUCUAUUUCUAGUAAACAAUCAGUCUCUUUCGGUGAACUUCCUAAACUUUCCGACGGAUUAAAGACAAAAGCUGAAGCGGAGCUCACACUUCAGGGUAGUUACAACGAGAAUAGAUAUUGUACCUUUGAGCGGUGCACUCAUGGUUGUGAGAAGAACUCUAGAGUGGAUAAUCUUGUCUCUAUUAAAAGUCGGGAACUGUGUAGCUGAAUCUCUUCUAAUACCUUGUUUAUGUUUUUGUCUGAAUUUACUUGUAUUAACAAUCUCAUUGUUUCUUUGAUGAAAGGCUGAAUGUGAUAUAACUGUCAAGCGCCAGAUCCGUUUACCAAUUGUAAAAGAACCUUCUGCUGUCUGCUUUCUGUACAGCUGCCUCAUUGUUAUUUUACCUGGCUCAAUAUCGAGAUCAAUGCUAUAUGCAAUGCAACUAUUCACGUGUCUGGAUUUGAUAUGCUAUUGUUUCAGCUAUUGUCUAUUUUCAUUUCCUGGAGAAUCGUACUCUAAACUUUCAAAAGUGUAUCAUUUGAACCGAAAGAAUAAUCGGAUUAUGCAAAGUCUACGCCAUUGUGGUAAGUUUUUGCUCUGUAAAACCAAGUUCUUUUCUCCCUGUGUUUUAAUCCGUUAGGCUUGAAGUCUCACUCUUUUGCCUUCCUUUGUACUUACAAUUCUAAUAUUAGCUAGUUUAGAAAAUAGAAUAACGGGUAAUAUGUGACUAAUGAGGUAAGUUUACGGUUCACUUCUGGUCGUCCAUUUCAUCAUGUUUGCAAUACCUUUUUGUUUGACAUUUGUAAUUCCUGUCAAUUUCCUCAGGUGGCCAUUACGUACAUACGACCAAAAUGAAGAUUUACAGUAAAUGCACCAAUGACUUUUCUUUUUCUAAAGAAAUAAGAACAGCUAAUUAAACCGGGAAUUGGUAUCAGGUUGACAGCAUAUCAUAUAUUGGUGACAGUUUCAGACUUUUAAUAUGUUAUUAGGUAAUCCACAUUGACUUUUUGAGGUACCAGAGAUUACGCCAAGUGGAUGAGAAGUUCAACUACUCAGGUCCUUACGUAACAAACAAAAUCUUGAAGCUACUGUUGCAUGCGUUUUAAAACCUAUAUAUAGCAAUAGACUUAAAGCCAGUAGCACACAUCCCAGUUUCAUUAAUUCUACACAUUUUCUCUAAGCUUCUAGGAUCUGCAGAAAAAUGGCUCACCAUUACCAGCUAUCCUCCCUCAUGCUACUUGCAUUUCUCAACUUGUGCUUCAUGCAUGGCCCCAUAACUGGUGCAACUGCACGGCGUCUACUAGAGACACCUCUACCUGAGAUUCCUAAACCAGAAUUACCAAAAGUUCCAACCUUGCCAAAGCCUGAGAUCCCAACUGUGCCGAAACCUGAGAUUCCAGCCAUUCCAAAGCCUGAGAUCCCAACUGUGCCGAAACCUGAGCUUCCAACCAUCCCAAAGCCUGAAAUACCAGUUGUCCCGAAGCCUGAGACUCCUAUUAUGCCAAAACCUGAAGUACCAAUUGUGCCAAAGCCCGAGCUACCAUCCAUCCCGAAGCCUGAGUUACCAACUUUACCAAAGCCUGAAGUACCAACUGCGCCAAACCCUGAGCUACCAACCAUCCAAAAACAUGAGUUACCAACUUUGCCAAAACCUGAAGUACCAACUGUGCCUAAGCCAGAGACUGUCCCGAAGCCUGAGAUUCCUAUUAUACCAAAACCUGAAGUACCAACUGUGCCAAAGCCCGAGCUACCAUCCAUCCCGAAGCCUGAGAUCCCAACUGUGCCGAAACCUGAGCUUCCAACCAUCCCAAAGCCUGAAAUACCAGUUGUCCCGAAGCCUGAGACUCCUAUUAUGCCAAAACCUGAAGUACCAAUUGUGCCAAAGCCCGAGCUACCAUCCAUCCCGAAGCCUGAGUUACCAACUUUACCAAAGCCUGAAGUACCAACUGCGCCAAACCCUGAGCUACCAACCAUCCAAAAACAUGAGUUACCAACUUUGCCAAAACCUGAAGUACCAACUGUGCCUAAGCCAGAGAUACCAGCUGCCCCAAAGCCUCCAACUUUGCCAAAGCAUGUGAUCCCAGCUGUGCCAAAACCCGAGCUUCCUGCUAUGCCAAAGCCUGAGAUUCCAACAAUGCCAAAACCCGAGUUUCCUCUCUUGAAAAAGUCAGAAAUCCCAGCAGUGACAAACACGAAGGUUCCUCCAACAAUAAAAAAGCCUGAAGUUCCAGCUUUGCCAAAGCUAGAAAUCCCAGAGCUACCAAAGCCAAAACUCCCAGAGCUUCCAAAGCCUAAAAUCCCCGAACUGCCUAAACCAGAAGUUCCAGCUAUGCCAAAGCCUAAAAUCCCCGAACUGCCUAAACUAACUUUUCCUUCACUUUCUCCCCCAUACAAACCCUCUACUCCUUGAGUAAUUACGUUCACUCUAUUAGAAAGUACCCAAACUGAUGCUUUGAGAUUGCUAUCUCAGUCUAUGAAGUUUGCUGCAUGGGCCGUGACAUGGAGAAAUUUUGGAAGAUCAUACUGGAUACUUUCUGCUAGGUGUAGAAUAUAAAUUCAUUUGUCGUAUUUGAUGUGCCAUGUUUCGCCGGUCAUUAUAUUGUAUACGAGUGUUUUAUGUUCUUUUUAUAUAAAGAUAUGAUCUAUUUCACAGUUUGGACUUACUUCGAUUUAGUUCCUUUCGUUGGCCAUCUCUGAUUUCAAUCAUUGUUUGUCUGAUUUUUCCCACUUCUGUUUUUCUCUAUCCUAUUACUACUUUUUUCCAUUCUCAUUUGACAUUUUGAUGUAUUUAAGAACCAAACCCGGAGAUUUAGGAUGUGUUUUGGUAUAACGGAAAUUAAUUUUCAUAAAAAAUAUUUCCUUAGAAAAUAGAUAGUAAUUUUAUUUAUUUUUCUGUGUUAAGUACACAAAUUAAGAAAAAUAACGUCUCAAGAGUAUUCAUAAAUAAUUUAGAUACAAUAAAUAUGAAGCCAUAAACUUCCGAACCAACAAACUUCCGAACCUACAAAUUUCAUAAACUUUCGAAACUGCUAACUUUCGAACCCGUAAACUUUAUAAAUAUUUCUAAACCCGUAAAUUACUUUAAAUAUUUAACUAAAAUUAAUCUAAAGUAACAAAGAGAUCAAGAAAACAAGUUGGUGAAUUAUAGAGACGAAUUUAAUAUGAGUGAAUAUUCUAGAGCUAUGGGUUAGCUAACAAUUCCGUUGAGUUUUUAAUUUAAAUCGUCUAAUUAAUUUAUCUGAUUAAUUGGUUGACAGAGUUAAUAUUGCUCGUAGCCUUCUCCCGAAGUACAACUCGCCUAUUCAAGCUAACCUAAAGCCUAUAUUCCUAUGGAAUUAAAAUUAACAAGAACACAUUUAUAAUUCCUGUAUAGUAAUCAAGCAAACCGAUUAGGCAUAUUCAACCGAUUAGGUAUAUUCCUAUGGAAUUAGAAUUAACAAGAACGCAUUUAUAAUUCCUGUAUAGUAAUCAAGCAAGGCGAUUAGGUAUAUUCCUAUCCUAACCGCAAAUUCGCUCCCCCCUCCCCCAAGAGUUAAGAUUUUGCUCUACUCAAUCUUAUAUGCAAUCUAGAAUUCCUUCUCUCGAGUUCAAUCCUAGAUCUGUAGAUAGUAUUUAAUUGGUGAUCAAGCAAUCAAAUAAUUUAGCGCAAGAUUGAAUAAAUAAACCAAUAUGAUAAAAUAAUAGGAACAAUCUAAGCUUCAAACUACAACGUUCAUGUAGCAUCCAAAACUCUAGAACUAAUAAACUGUGAGAUUAAAUGAAGAGAAGAGAAGAAAAACUAGUUAGGAGCCUCCUCCAAAGCGUGGUGUGUUCCUCCACGUGAAUUCCCCUUCAAAAUAUGUUCCCUAGGUCUAAGAUCUGUCAUAUGUAUGUCCCACCUCUCUAAAAUAGCGUUUUACAUGUAUUUAUACCAAGUAGGGUCGGGUCCAGAGGGAACAUCUGUCAAAAGUAUGCCCUACCUCUCCAAAAUAAUUAUACCAAGUAGGGUCAGGCCCAGAUAAAAACACCUUCUCCCGCGCGAAAUAGGACUCUGGCUCUGUAAGUUUUGUACAGACGCGCCGCGCCAUGCAGCGCGCUAACGGAGUUUAUCGGCAAGCUGUACUUUUCUUGUCUUGCGACAUUUUACACUGCUGCGUCGUGCCUUGCGGCGUCCUAUGCGGCGCUACAGUUUAAUUUUCUCAGAGUGAACAUAUUUCGUCCUCUUUUAACAUCCAGACAUGGUACACCACCUCUGAACACGAUUCCGACUUGAUUCCUUGGGCUUUUACUCAGACUUUAAAGCUCUAAAUCACUUGAAUACAUUCCAUAACGCAUACAUAGAUCGAAAUCACUCCUACAAGGCAUAAAAUACAUAUUUAGUGCAACACACUAGCGAUUAAAGCUCAAACUCAAUUAAAGUACAGUAAAUUAGAGUGUAAUAAGCGUCUAAAAUACACAAUAAUAGCCCAUCAUCAACACCCUACACUUAAAUCAUUGCUCGUCCUCGAGCAAUCAAACAUUACUUUAUAUAGACACAAUCUUUUUUAAACAAUUCUCCUAAAUCAUCACACCAAGAAUAUUUAAAAUAGACUAAGCACAAGAGUGUAACAUAUUCACCUCAAGAUCUGACUCACAAGUAUCACGCAUUAUUCACAACUCACUCACUUACUCUAACAUAGAAGUCACGGAAACUGCCUUUCCUUCGUGAACCAGGUGCUCUCACACAACAAAAGUGAGUAGUUUCACACAAUAAAAUUUAAGAACACUUAGGAACACAAGAUAAAAAGAAUUCACUCACUCUCAGAAAUAACAUUCAUAUGCCACAGAAGAUGCAUCAUAGGCUUAACUGUAGUGUAUUACUCUACUAAUCGAGCUUAUUCAGUCUAGGAUCAAGUAUGACUUUAUUUGGUUGUAAUGUAGGCUGCAGGAUGGGUAGGAUACAUUUAGAUAUAAUAGUGACUAUACAUCCCUAAGCACUUCAAUACAUACACUUUAACAUUGAAAAGCCCACACUUAUGUCGAACCAUAACUCCACAUUCACACCAAUAUAUAUUAACUCUCCACUUCUUUAAGUACAAUUAUAUCAAGAGUCACCACCACCAUCUAGAAUUAUUUUUCGCAACAAUACAACUAAUUUUUUUUCUUUUCAAUUCACGUGGCUCUUACUUUUUCAAAACAAUGCACCUUUCUCCUUUUUCAUUAGUUCAAAUCAAAAGUCAAACCAACCACCCCCACUUUAACUUUUAUAAAGUUCAUAACAAUUCAAAUGCUCAUGAGAGGUGAAAAGGUUCAAAUAGAUGGUAGUUCAAAAAAAUAGGCAAGACGUGUAAUGUGGUUGCCAAAGAAACAGGAUUAUAGACUCAAAUAGGUUAACAAUGAUAAUAAAAAUUAGGCGGGUAUAUAUAUAUGGCUCAACAAAGAAACGCAUAUAUCACUUCCAAGACUGAACAAAACUACUAUUUCGCUUUGCAAACACAUGGGGCAAGUUCUAGACAUCAAAUGCAUUGCACAGAAUAACACAAAACCUUGCACACACAUAACACAUAAAUCACUCAGGAUUGGACACAUCAAGAUACUCUAGUCAAAGAAGUUAAGCAAAGUUAAGAUCAUACAAUUUAAGGUACUUAUAAAAGAGUUAAAAACUGAGCCUAAGCGUUACAACCAAAGUACUCACUAUUCUCAAGGCAUAACAAUUCAAGAGAUAUUGCUUCAAUUCAAUUCACAUCACCAUGGCUUCUCUCCUAAAAAAAAUAAAAAUACCUACAUCCGGUUCAAACAAAACCCUUGGAAACGAACCGCAACACAAAGAAAAACCAAUGGGAAAUUACUACACUACCUACAAAAAAAUCUUUUUGUCAUUUUUCUUUAGACUUAAAUCCCUCAAGAAAACUGCCUAGGAGAUCCAUCGUCGGAAAAAAUUCAAUUUACUUUUUUACGUUUUUCUAAAUACAAAAAAAUUAUUUAAUUAAACUAACACAACUAAAAUAGCAUAGAAAGUCACUUAGACAUUCUCCUCGCCCCACACUUUAAAUUGUGCAAUGUUCUCAAUGCACACUAUAACUAAUAAGAGGGUAAAAGAGACUCCCUGAUAGGCCAAAGGCCGAAACAUUAGUAUCUCACGAGAUACUCAUACUUCUCCCAGGUAUGCUCCUUUGUGCGGGUACCUCACACUUUGUUUUAACCAAAUGCUCUCCUUUACACAUGCCUAUUGGCUAUGACUUCAUGCUCCUACUCCUACAAAAUACAAAAAUAAUAAUACAAAUAUAAUACAAUAAAAAAAUACAAAAGGAAAAAAAUAAAAUUGAGUUGCCUCCCAAGAAGCAUUUGAUUUAACGUCGCGGCACGACUCCAUCACUUUCAUCACUUUUCCUUCCACUUAGAAGAUAUGAAUUGUGCCCCCAAUUUGGCAUCAAUUUUUCUAUUAUGUUCAUGAGGCGGUGGUGUGAAAAUAAAGAAACCAAACAAAAUAUGUCGCAUCUUCCACUACUUGACCCUUAAGUGAGGAAUGUUGUUUUGUUUCCUUGGCAUCACAAACUUCAGAAUGUAAGGGUCUUGUUCUUCAUCUAUACAUCUCUCCAAGGGUUCGAUCUCCAUGUCUUCAUCCAAACAUAAUGUAGAAAAAUGUAUAAAAUGAGGACCAACACGCCCCAACUCUAAAACUGCAUUAUUUUUUACAUCCUCAGUAAUACAUACUCCCUCAACCUCGGCAUCAUCAACAAAAACAUGGUCUAGUGAUUGGUAUCCUCGUUUUAGCUCCUCAAUUUGGCUUAAAAGAAUUUUUUCAGCUUCACAAAACUCAUCAUUAAAUUGUUGGACAUUACAUGCAUCAACCUUUGCACUCAAUUGGGCUUCCAAGUCGCGAAUAAAUUUUGCCAAAGUGAUUGAUCUCUUGUCCCAGUUCAGCUCUUCCUUCUAUAAAGUGUUAUAUCUCAUUCGUAAUUUUCUCACGGAAACCUCCAUAUUCCUCUAAUAAUUUCAUGUGCACAUCAGGAAUGCGAACAUCAUGUUCAACAUCUUACAAUUCGUUACUCCUUUCAAACUCACAAGAAUUAUAAUUAGAAUCAACACAAGAAGGGACUGGAGUAGGAUAACAACACGUAGGACAAUUGUUCCAAUUUCCAUCACAAAUAGUACAAGAUGAAAAUGGUGCACACAACUCAGUAGUAGGAAUAUUUUUACAAUAUUGCCACAAGUGGAGUCCUUUACAAUAUGGACAAGGAUCACAAAAAUAAGAAUAUUUACUAUCCCACCACUUUUCGUUCAAAGAUGUCAUGUAAAAAGAAAUAUAACACUAACUCCACUAAACUAAAAUUAAAAACUGAAAUAGAUAAAAAAGUAAAAAAUUUAAUCUAGUAAAAUAGUUAAUUUCUAAGUCCCCGGCAACGGCACAAAAAAUUUAUUGCUCCCAAACGCACGCGCAAGUAUACGUGGUCGAGAAGUAAUAUAGAAUUGUAAGUCCAGAUAUCGUACCCACAUGGACUUGUGAUUAACUAUCAACUAAAUUAGACCAAAUAAUCCUAAUGUAUAAAUAUUUAACUAAAAUUAAUCUAAAGUAACAAAUAGAUCAAAGAAAAUAAGUUGACGAAUUAUAAAGGCGAAGUUAAUGCGAGUGAAUAUUCUAGAGCUAUGGGUUAGCUAACAAUCCCGUUGAGUUUUUCACUUAAAUCUUCUAACUAAUUUAUCUGGUUUAUUGGUUAACAGGGUUAAUAUUGCUCAUAGUCUUCUCCCGAAGUACAACUCAUCUAUUCAAGCUAACCUAACGCCUAUAUUCCUAUGGAAUUAUAAUUAACAAGAGCACAUUUGUAAUUCCUGUAUAGUAACCAAGCAAGGCGAUUAAGUAUAUUCUUAUCCUAACCGCAAAUCUGCCCCCUUAAGAGUUAAGAUCUUGCUCUACUCAAUCUUAUAUGCAAUCUAGAAUUCCCUCUCCCGAGUUCAAUCCCAGAUUCGUUGAUAGUAUUUAAUUGGUGAUCAAGCAAUCAAAUAAUUAAGCGCAAGAUUGAAUAAAUAAACCAAUAUGAUAAAAUAAUAAGAACAAUCUAAGCUACAAACUAUAACGUUCGUACAACACCCAAAACUUUAGAACUAAUAAACUAUGAGAUUAAAUUAAGAGAAGAGAAGAAAAACUAGUUAGGAGCCUCCUCCAAAGCGUGGUGUGUUCCUCCACGUGAAUUCCCCUUCAAAAUAUGUUCCCUAGGUCUAAGAUCUGUCAUAUGUAUGUCCCACCUCUCUAAAAUAGCGUUUUACAUGUAUUUAUACCAAGUAGGGUCGGGUCCAGAGGGAAACACCUUCUCCCGCCCGAAAUAUGACUCUGUAAAUUUUGUACAGAUGUGGCGCGCCAUGCGGCGCGCUAAUGGAGGUUAUUAGCAAGCUUGACUUUUCUUGUCAGGCAGCAUUUUACACUGCUGCGCUGCGCCUUGCAGCGUCCCAUGCAGUGCGGCAGUGUAAUUUUUUCAAAGUGAACUUAUUUCGUCCUCUUUGAACAUCCGGACUUGGUACACGAUCUCGACUUAAUUCCUUGGAUUUUUACUUAGACUUCAAAGCUCCAAAUCACUUGAAUACAUUCUAUAACACCUACAUAGAUCGAAAUCACUCUUACAAUGCAUAAAAUACAUAUUUAGUGCAAAAUACUAGUGAUUAAAGCUCAAACUCAAUUAAAAUAUAAUAAAUUAAAAUGUAAUAAGCAAUUAAAAUAAACAAUUAUAGCAUAUCAUCACAAGUCAUGAGGCGUUUUCUUUUGCCCGCCUCUGUUUUACUUUCACUAAAUUAGAAAAGCAACAAAUAUAGAAAGGACAUCAAUCACAUUGUGAUUGCAAAUUUAGAGUUAAUAAAAUAACGUGUAAGGUAUUUUUUUAACACAUUUUGCUUCCUGGAUGAUCAUAUUAAUUAGCUGUAGAUCCAACAAUUCUUUAGCUGCAUUGAAAAAUGCGACGCAGAGAUUAAUUUCUUUGCAAGGAAGUUGAAGCAACGGACCAAUACUGUUUUCUAACAAGUGGCAGCUAAUUAGAUGAGAUAAUGACAGGUUUUGACUAUUAUGGCAUAGUAGUAGAUAGUAUAUUGUUAUUUGUUAAUAAACAGAUUUUGAGCUGCCAGAAGAAAAAUUUCAAGAUAAUAUUGGCAGGCAAAUAGAUGAGAAGUUCAACUAACAUAUCCCUUUCCCAACAACCAAAAUAUUGAAGUCCUACUUUUGUUGCAUGAAUGUAAAACCUAUAUAUAGCAACAGCCUUAUAUCCAAUGCCACAUCCAAAUUUCACUGAUUCUAUACACACUCUUCUUUAAGCUGCUAGGAUUUGCAGAAAAAUGGCUCAUCAUUAUCAGCUAUCCUCCCUCUUACUGCUUGCAUUUCUCAAUUUAUGCUUCAUGAAUGGCCACAUAACAUGUGUUACUGCACGCCGCCUUCUGGAGGCGCCCCUCCCUGAUAUUCCUAAACCAGAAUUUCCAAAAGUUCCAACCUUGCCAAAGCCUGAGAUCCCAACUGUGCCGAAGCCUGAGAUUCCAGCCAUACCAAAGCCUGAAAUUCCUGUUAUGCCAAAGCCUGAAGUACCAACUGUGCCGAAGCCUGAGCUGCCAACUGUCCCAAAGCCUGAGUUACCAACUUUACCAAAACCCGAGAUCCCAACUGUGCCAAAGCCCAAGCUUCCAGCUAUGCCAAAGCCUGAGAUCCCAGCAAUGCCAAAACCUGAGUUGACAAACGCACCAAAGCCUGAAAUCCCAAUGGUUCCAAAGCCCGAGAUUCCUACUAUGCCAAAGCCUGAGCUACCAGCUACUCCAAAACCUGAGUUACCAAAUUUCCCGAAGCCUGAGAUUCCAACAGUGCCAAAGCCUGAGAUUCCAGCCGUGCCAAAGCCGGAGAUACCAAAGUUGUCAAAGCCCGAGCUUCCUCGCCUAGAAAAGCCAGAGGUUCCAGCACUGCCAAAGACUGAGCUUCCUCCAGCUAUGACAAAGCCUGAUGUGCCGACUGUGCCAAAGCUCGAGCAACCAGUGGUGCCAAAAC